UAGCACGUGGGUGACCUUCCCAGACGUGGGGGAUAACCCGCCGAAAGGCGGGCUAAGACCGCAUACGACUUUUCGGUUGGGACCGGGGAGUGAAAGCAAGGCCUCUGUAGACAAGCUUGCGCGUUUGGUUGGGCCCGCGGCCCAUCAGCUAGUUGGAGUGGUAACGGCACACCAAGGCGACGACGGGUAGCUGGUCUGAGAGGAUGGCCAGCCACACUGGAACUGAGACACGGUCCAG
rnacentral:rRNA from 1 species